rnacentral:pre_miRNA from 1 species
GUCAUACUCCCUCCGUUCCAAAUUACUCGUCGCUGAAAUGGAUGUAUCUAGAACUAAAAUACAUCUAGAUACAUCCAUAUGUGCGACAAGUAAUUCAGAACGGAGAGAGUAUUAA